AUGACAGGCCUUUUCCACAGAACUUUCUCUUCCUCAGUCAAGCCAGGAACUGUUUCUAAAAGCCCCAGCAGAGCCUCUGAAUUCCUGAGUGAUCAUUCUCUUUGUCAGGUGCCAGAUGUGCCAGCAGUGCCCAGGUUUCCAGGGGGCCGAGUCCAGAAGGGCAUCUGGCCAGAGGCUGGCUUCGUGGAAGACACGGCCCAUGUGUUUCUGGCCGUGAAUCCUGCCACAGGGUCAUCCUUGGGACACAGGACCACCGGGGGUCCUGCUCUGCCAUCACACUCGGCUGACGGAAUCCGAACACCAGAGCACUGCGCCUCGUCUCAAUCCAGUGACCUACAUAUUUCACACUCAACCAUCCAGGCUCGCACAGGCAGCAGGCUGUGUUUCAGUAUCUCUCAGUGAGAACUCUACUGGCAUUUGGGGGAAGAGAAAGAGGGGGAAAGGGGGCUGGGUUCGGGCAAUUCAUUGUAUAGAGAAAUCCCAGGCAAUGAGGCAUGAGUAGCAUGUCCUCACCACCACCCCCUUCCCAUUGCCCACAUUCAAUCCCUCUGCCAAUACACAUUUCCAGAUGUCCCUUUGGGAAAGAGAAAUGCAGUUAAGAAACUAUAUAAAAAGAAGUCAGUGAGUAAUAAACCUCAAGUGUCUCGCAUAGCUGAGCGUGAAGAACUGAAAAAUCAGGACACCAUGGGGCCAGAGUACAUGGAGGCAUCUUGUAACGAACUAUCCUUCCAAGUCCAGGCAUUUUGCAUCCCAAAGAGUCCAAGAAAUUAUCUUAUUUGGAGUCUCAGAUAAAGAGAAGACUCAAUGAGAUGAGCAGAGACAAGUGGAGAUGAGAGAGUCGUUAGACCACCGACUGGUCCAUCUCAUCCUGGUUCUAAGUGCUGUCCCAGUCCCUGACUCCACAAGUCCCUGUGCUCUCUGCUCUUGGAUUCCAUGGGAUUGCCCACACACUUAAACCAAAUCUUCUCCCCCCUUUGUGUUUUUGCCUUAAGUUAAAGUUGUCUCAGUUCUUUUCAACCAGGAAAACUUGACUCAGAACUUAGACUUGAAAGGGUAAUCAAUAAUGCAGGAUGCUGAUAAAACGAGCCAUUAACACAACAAGGUCAUCGAGGGAGUGUCAUACAUAUGGUAACCAGGUUUGCUGGAGUCUUGGUAUACUCCCCUUACCCCCCUUUUACAUCCAGUGUCCCUGUUGGACAAUAAGUUAUAUGGUCACCCUAGCCACAAAAUGGACAACACAGUCUUCAUGAAGAAAGUUGACCUUAAUACAAGGAGGGCUUUGGGUAAAAGAAGAGGAAAUGUUUUACCCAAGAGUCUCUUUUUGUUAUAGGUGCACCUGGGCAUGGUUCAAGAUGAAAUAUAGCUGGCUUCCAAACUGGCAGGCUGUGGAGAAUUAAAAAGGGAGAAUGUACUAUUACCUUAUUAUGUUUUCUUCCCUGGCAAACUCAUCUAUCAAAAUCUGUUGUUGUGACCCAUCAGAGUAACUGAUUCUGGUUUGGCAGACGGAAUGACAAACGCUUUAGGCUUUAUCAUCUUUGAAGAGGAAUAUUGUCUAAUAGCAUUACUUAGAUGACCCCAUCUCAUUAGUGUCCUCUCUUGUUGCAAGAGGAGCAAAGCAGCAAAGGGACUCUCUCCUUUCUAAGAUCAGUGGCGAUUCCCAUGGUUGUGGGACACACAGAGAAGGUCUGCAUAAGAGGCCAGGAGUCACCCUGAAACAGCGCUUGGCCAAAGCCGCCCAAUCUCUGAUACCAGCCGGUCAGGUUGUCUUCUGUUUGAAUUUUCUGUUGCGGGGGUAAUGGCACUAGCAUAUGGAGUCCAGAGUCAGAAAUGGCUUUGUUUUUUUCUUCUGCAUUUUAAUUUUAUUUAUUAAUUUGGGACAUGGAGGUGGCACUUUGAACACUUCAUAUGUGAUCUUUUAUCUCACUGUAAUUCAUUUUAUCAGUGAGACCUUAUCUACUUAGUGUGUCAUUAUGCUUAUCACUGGGACCAGGUGCUCUGAACAGAGGCCCUCUGAUUUUCUGUUCAGCUCCACUCCUUUUUUUUUUUUUUUUUUUAAGAUUUUAUUUAUUUAUUCAUGAGAGACAGAGAGGGACAGAGACACAGGCAGAGGGAGAAGCAGGGUCCCUGCAGAGAGCCUGAUGCGGGACUCGAUCCCAGGACCCUACGAUCACAACCUGGGCCAGAGGCUGACACUCAACCCCUGAGCCACCCAGGGGCCCCAGCUCUCUACUUCCCUUAACAACGAGGACGUUUCUACUUCUGUGAAUGUGUGUGUCACUUUUCUGUUUGGCCUUUACUCGUCUGGAAAGAAAAGGGGGAAAAAUGGGGAAGAAAAAGGGGAAGAAAAUGAGGAUUGGACUGCCUUCUUCCCUUCUAAUCUUUGGUGGAAAGGCAGGACAUAGAUACACAGCAAGAAUAAGGUGAACAUGACUUCGGUUGUGAACCCCUUGCUCUAACUUUCUGAGAGCCCUGUGAUGGUGAAAGCCGUGUGUCAGCUCGGCUGUGAGCUGUUCUGUAAGUUGGGGACCUCGGUGAAGCAGACAACCCUCCCUCACACGGGUGGGCAUCAGCCAACUGGUUCAGGCCUGAAGAGACUAGAAAGGUGGCAGAGCGGCAAAUUUGCUGUGUCUCUGCCUCACCUGGGACAUCCGUCUUCUCCCGCCCUGGCUGUUGUUGCUCCUGGUUCAAGGACUUGGACCAAGUGACGCCACCGGGUCUCCGGGUUCCCGACUUGCAGACAGCAGAUUGUGGGACUUACUUGGCCUCCAUAAGCACUUGAGCCAAUUUCUAGAAUGAAUCCCCUCGGAGAUAUAUGUCUCUGUAUAUCCUGUUGGUUCUGUUUCCCUGGAGGACCCCGACUCCUACAAUCCCUCAAGGACCCUCCACUCACUUCUUCUCUUGGGCUUUUGCAUCCUAAGACCCUGUAAGAUUUUCAUUUGUUACUAUUGUGGGUGCUUCCUGUUAUUGGUGGAUUUUAAUUGCUUGUGUCGCUGGGGGCUUAGACCCCAGACUCACCCCUGCUGGGUGCAUCUCCAGGCCCUCUCUUGCUCUUUGCUCUUGGCUUUCCAGACUUGACUAGUGACCCCUCACUGCCAUCCUGACUGUAAGUCUAGGGUUCUUCCUCCUUUGUGGCUUCCCUUCUACUUUGGGAAGGUUCAAUUGACCCCUAACAGUUGACUCUGUUUCUCACGCUGCUCCACUUUGUCCUCAGAUUGUUUGCUGGAAUUAAGAACCUGACCUCUUCACAUUUUCUUUGCCUUCUGGUCCAGACAUUUGUUUUCAAUCAUACUCCUCUGGAUCUCGUGUUGUGGGCUAUCCAGUAAUGAAAAAUAUCAAAUCAAUACGUUCUGGGUCUGUCAAAAACAUCCUUAUUUUAUAUAAACCUUGUUUAACUUCUGCGUGAGUGUUGCAAUCCCUUCUGGGAGAUACUCUCCCAUGAGGGCAGAAUUUAGCUCAGGCCUGAUCUCAGCCUGGCUCUCCUCCCAUCUCUGCAAUGCUUUCUUUUAGAAUCUCAAUGCUACACAUUUCUUGGUCAUGUUGCUGUGAAGUGCAGGCAAUGCUCCAGUGACUGUAACCUCUUAAUUCAUCACAUUGUGUUAUAAGUAUUUUUUUUAUGGCUCUUUCUGGCUUUUCCUCUCAAACCUCUCCAGAUCCACUAGAGUUUUUAAAAUCUUAAAUUCUCUUACCAUGGAUUGCCAUUCAAGAACACCCUCAUAGAAACACCUAGAAUAGAAAAAAGGAAGGAAGGAAGGAAGGAAGGAAGGAAGGAAGGAAGGAAGGAAGGAAGGAAGGAAGGAGGGAGGGAGGGAAGGCAGGCCAGCCAGAAUAAUGUUUGUUUGAAUGACUGUCUUGGCAUCCAUGGUCCAGUCAACAUGAUACAUAAAAUUAAUCAUCAUCACUGUCUAAUAAUCUGGAAUCAAAUAAUGGUGAUGGUUGCAGAAUAUUAUGAAUGUAUUGAAAGCCGUUGAACUAUACACAUUAAAAUGAUGGAAGUUGUUAAUUUUGUCUUAUGUGAAUUUUUACUCAAUUAAAAAAAGUUAAAGCCACAGGAACUAUCACUACACACUAGAAAGUCUCCCUCUGUGUGUGUGUCUGUCUCUUUCUGUAUAGAUGAUAUUCAUUAUAUAUUGAAACUAUAUAUAUGAGAUAUAUAUACGUAUACAUAUGAAAUGUGUUUGAGAGAUACACACAAAUGUAUAUAAGCAUACGUACGCAUGAGAAUUGACAAUACCAAGUGCUGACAGAGAUACAGAGCCACUAUUACUCUCAUUCAUCACUGUUGGUAAUGGAAAAUGAUAGUCAUUUUGGAAAAUAGUUUGGUAGUUUCUUACAAAAUUAAACAUACUCUUACCUUUGGACUCUGAUAUGCCACUCCUGGGUUUUUACCCAAGAGAAAUAAAAACUUAGAUCCACACUAAAAUAGUAUGUGAGUGUUUAUAGU
rnacentral:lncRNA from 1 species